AUUGAACGCUGGCGGCAUGCUUUACACAUGCAAGUCGAACGGUAACGCGGGUUUCGGCCUGGCGACGAGUGGCGAACGGGUGAGUAGAACAUCGGAACGUAUCCUUGCAGUGGGGGAUAGCCCGGCGAAAGCCGGGAUUAAUACCGCAUGAGCCCUGAGGAGGAAAGCGGGGGACUUUAGGGCCUCGCGCUGUGGGCGCGGCCGAUGCCGGAUUAGCUUGCUGGUGGGGUAAAGGCUCACCAAGGCGACGAUCCGUAGCUGGUCUGAGAGGAUGAUCAGCCACACUGGAACUGAGACACGGUCCAGACUCCGUACGGGAGGCAGCAGGUGGGGAAUUUUGGACAAUGGGGGCAACCCUGAUCCAGCCAUGCCGCGUGCGGGAAGAAGGCCUUCGGGUUGUAAACCGCUUUCAUACGGGACGAAAUAGCGUGGGUUAAUACCCUGCGUUGAUGACGGUACCGUAAGAAGAAGCACCGGCUAACUACGUG
rnacentral:rRNA from 1 species